AAAUCUCCGAGAUUGCAUCAUGUUUCUUUUCAUUACAUUACGGUUGCCUGUUCAGAAGUCAGAGACGAUCCUGUGCUGAUUGCUGUGGGCGUGGCUCAGCUGGCAGGUGGCUCCAGGUGCAGCUCAUUCCCUCAUCAACCUCCUGCAGUAUUUAAGGCUGGCUCUGUGAUCCACUUGUUGCCAGAUCGUACAGUCUACAAGUGUGGUUGCAGCCUACCUUGCUCGUUUGUCUGCCUGCCUGCUUGCUCCUCACACCUGCCCUUCUCUCUCUACUGAUUGGACUCAAUUGUUUGGACUCUGAAGG